AUGCAUUGGCCGCAUCUCUCUCUCUCUCUCUCUCUCUCUCUCUCUCUCUCUGUGUGUGUGUGUGUGAGAGAGAGAGAGAGAGAGAGAAUUGGCUUAUUAU